rnacentral:tRNA from 1 species
GGAGGGGCUGUGGCUCAGCUGUAGAGCAUCUGCCUGGCCUACAGAAGGUCCCGAGUUCAAUCCCAGCCCCCCCCCCCUCCA